AGCGUAAAUAGACAGUUAGUGUGUCUGCUUUAAAGACAGCGUGUACAUGCAUAUCUUUACUUUUUAAAGUGAAAAGGCACUUAUUGCUGUAUUUUUAUGUAAAGACUAAACUUAGGUGGGUUUUCUUCAGUGGGGAAGCUCAGUGCGACGGAUAAUUUGUAGAUUUUACCAGUUGCACAAUCGACUGUUGCUU